CAGCCGCCGCGGUAAUACGGAGGGCGCGAGCGUUACCCGGAUUUACUGGGCAUAAAGGGCGUGUAGGCGGCCUGGGGCGUCCCAUGUGAAAGGCCACGGCUCAACCGUGGAGGAGCGUGGGAUACGCUCAGGCUAGAGGGUGGGAGAGGGUGGUGGAAUUCCCGGAGUAGCGGUGAAAUGCGCAGAUACCGGGAGGAACGCCGAUGGCGAAGGCAGCCACCUGGUCCACUUCUGACGCUGAGGCGCGAAAGCGUGGGGAGCAAACCGGAUUAGAUACCCCUGUAGUCCCUGUCUCUUAUAC
rnacentral:rRNA from 1 species